UAAUCUUAUAACUAAUAUUAUUUUGCCAUCAAUUUAAUUACUUGUUUUUGCACAAUCUGUUUGUAGAUGAUAUUAUAUUAUAGCGCUGUUAAAUGGUUUUAGGCUCUGAGUAUGUGUGUAUGUCACCCUCUUAAAGAAUAGUGUUAUUUAAAAUAUUACAAUUUUGUACUAUACAGUUAAUUAUACUUUAAUGAACCGAAUACUUGAUGAAUAAAAUCAACAUCAAUGCCACAAAAAAAAAAAAUAUAUGUAUACAUAUUAUAUUUUUUUAUUUCUAUCUUAUUAAGUCAAUGAUUUUCUAUAGUUUAAACAUGAAACUAGGUACUUAUUUACCAAAAACAAUUUAUUUACAUUGAAUAAUCUUAAAAAAUCAAUAUAGGUGAAUAAUAUAUUAUUAAUGUAGGUAGUUUUUUUUAGAAAUUU